AGGAAAGCAGGGGAUCGCAGGACCUUGCGCUCUUGGAGCGGCCGAUGUCUGAUUAGCUAGUUGGUGAGGUAAAGGCUUACCAAGGCGACGAUCAGUAGCUGGUCUGAGAGGACGACCAGCCACACUGGGACUGAGACACGGCCCAGACUCCUACGGGAGGCAGCAGUGGGGAAUUUUGGACAAUGGGGGAAACCCUGAUCCAGCCAUGCCGCGUGAGUGAAGAAGGCCUUCGGGUUGUAAAGCUCUUUCAGCCGGAACGAAACGGUCACGGCUAAUACCUGUGAUCACUGACGGUACCGGAAGAAGAAGCACCGGCUAAUUACGUGCCAGCAGCCGCGGUAAUACGUAGGGUGCAAGCAUUAAUCGGAAUUACCUGGGCGUAAAGCGUGCGCAGGCGGUUUUGUAAGUCAGAUGUGAAUCCCCGGGCUUAACCUGGGAACUGCGUGUGAAAUUACAAAGGU
rnacentral:rRNA from 1 species